rfam:Homo sapiens chromosome 17, GRCh38 reference primary assembly.
GCUGGGUGUGCUGGCACAUGCCUGUAGUCCCAGCUACUUGGGAGGCUGAGGCAGGAGAAUUGCUUGAGCCCGGGAGGCGGAGGUUGCAGUGAGCCGAGAUCGUGCCACUGCAUUCCAGCCAGGGCAACAAAGCAAGACUCUGUCUCAA